rnacentral:rRNA from 1 species
AAAUUGAAGAGUUUGAUCAUGGCUCAGAUUGAACGCUGGCGGCAGGCCUAACACAUGCAAGUCGAACGGUAACAGGAAGCAGCUUGCUGCUUCGCUGACGAGUGGCGGACGGGUGAGUAAUGUCUGGGAAGCUGCCUGAUGGAGGGGGAUAACUACUGGAAACGGUAGCUAAUACCGCAUAAUGUCGCAAGACCAAAGAGGGGGACCUUCGGGCCUCUUGCCAUCGGAUGUGCCCAGAUGGGAUUAGCUUGUUGGUGGGGUAACGGCUCACCAAGGCGACGAUCCCUAGCUGGUCUGAGAGGAUGACCAGCCACACUGGAACUGAGACACGGUCC